GUGUCAGCAGCCGCGGUAAAACGUAGGAGGCGAGCGUUAUCCGGAUUUACUGGGUGUAAAGCGCGUGCAGGCGGUUGACUAAGUUGGAUGUGAAAGCUCCUGGCUCAACUGGGAGAGGUCGUUCAAGACUGGUCGACUGGAGAGCAGUAAGGGAAGGUGGAAUUCCGGGUGUAGUGGUGAAAUGCGUAGAUAUCCGGAGGAACACCAGUGGCGAAGGCGGCCUUCUGGACUGCUUCUGACGCUCAGACGCGAAAGCUAGGGGAGCAAACGGGAUUAGAGACCCCGGUAGUCCUAGCCGUAAACGAUGUGAACUUGGCGCUGGGUGGGUAAAACUAUUCAGUGCCGCAGCUAACGCGAUAAGUUCACCACCUGAGGACUACGGCCGCAAGGUUAAA
rnacentral:rRNA from 1 species